CCUACGGGUGGCAGCAGUGAGGAAUAUUGGUCAAUGGGCGCGAGUCUGAACCAGCCGAGUAGCGUGAAGGAUGACUGCCCUACGGGUUGUAAACUUCUUUUAUAAAGGAAUAAAGUGAGGCACGUGUGCCUUUUUGUAUGUACUUUAUGAAUAAGGAUCGGCUAACUACGUGCCAGCAGCCGCGGUAAUACGGAGGAUCCGAGCGUUAUCCGGAUUUAUUGGGUUUAAAGGGAGCGUAGAGGGGUUGUUAAGUCAGUUGUGAAAGUUUGCGGCUCAAACGUAAAAUUGCAAUUGAUACUGGCAGCCUUGAGUACAGUUGAGGUAGGCGGAAUUCGUGGUGUAGCGGUGAAAUGCUUAGAUAUAACGAAGAACUCCGAUGGCGAAGGCAGCUUACUAAACUGCCACUGACAUUGAUGCUCGAAAGUGUGGGUAUCAAACAGGAUUAGAGACCCGAGUAGUC
rnacentral:rRNA from 1 species